rnacentral:rRNA from 1 species
UACGAAGGGGGCUAGCGUUGUUCGGAAUCACUGGGCGUAAAGCGUACGUAGGCGGAUCGUUAAGUCAGGGGUGAAAGCCUGGAGCUCAACUCCAGAACUGCCUUUGAUACUGGAGAGCUUGAGUCCGGAAGAGGUGAGUGGAACUCCGAGUGUAGAGGUGAAAUUCGUAGAUAUUCGGAAGAACACCAGUGGCGAAGGCGGCUCACUGGUCCGGUACUGACGCUGAGGUGCGAAAGCGUGGGGAGCAAACAGG